AAAUCUAGAGUUAUGACACAUCGUAUCUGGGCUGAGCAGAAAGACGUAGUUCUGGAAGAUUUAAUAUUAAGUCCACGUGAGAUUUUCCUGUACCAUCCUUCCGUAUUUCUUUGUCAUUUGCUAUGCAUCUCACCCUUUCCAUACCUGACUGUUUUAUAUGUUUCUUUGAAGAGAUUCCUCUAUAAUAGUAGGCUUUAUAUGGAGUAGCUGAAUAUUUAGGCUUUGCAUUGCCCUAAGGACCUCUUCUACCCCUGUAUUUAAUAGGUUUUAGUUUAUGAGUAAAGUGUAAUUUAUGGAAUCGACAGACUAGCAGUUGCCCAUUCUUGCCUCAGAUUCUUUUCUGCCAUUAGUCACCUCAUUUAAGCUUCAGAAAACUGCCGUAAAUCUCCUAAAAGUUAGAUUUUGCUCCUACUUGAAGGACUAUUAUCCCCUCUAGAAGCUUGGUAAAUCACUUGCAAAUUAUGAUUGCUUGACCUGAUAAUAGAAGAUCCCAAAGUAUCCCUUAUUAUGACUUCCACAUGGAAUAUGCAGUACUUUUCUAGACAAAUCUUUCUUCUUUGGCAAUCACUCAUAGCCAAGUAAGAUUGUCUUCCAUAAACACGGUUUUAACAGUGAGUCUGUAAGUGACUGUGGAGGCCAAUUCUGGAUCCACACGUCCUUCCACAGUGGGGACAGAGGUUUCCGAGUGGGAGUUGAUCAUGGUGAGGGUUUACCAAGCAUGCCUUCCUCUUAGCACGUUUCUCCCUUUCGUCCUGAGUUCGAGUGUCUUCAAAGUCCACGACACCUUUGGUAAAUGCUGUUCUCCAAUUGGAGCGCUCGCAGGCCAGUGUUUCCCAGUUGUCGGUGUUUAUACUACAUUUUUUUAGAUUUGACUUGAGACAGUCUUUGAACCUCUUUUGUUGACCACUGGCAUUACGCUUUCCAUUUUUAAGUUCGGAAUAGAGUAGUUGCUUAGGAAGACGAUAAUUAGGCAUCUGCACAACAUGACCAGUCCAACGAAGUCGAUGUUGAAGACCCAUCGCUUCGACACUGGCGAUCUUUGCUUCUUCCAGUACACUGGCAUUAGUUCGCCUGUCUUCCCAGGUGAUGUGUAAAAAUUUUUUGGAGACACCAUUGAUGGAAUCUUUCAAGGGGUUGGAGAUACCUAGUUGGUUACUCAAUGAGAUGGGAGUUAGAACAGAAUAAUGUGUUAUUUCAGCUUAUCUUUACAGACUUCCCCAACCUGGUGACUUUCAGGGUUUUUGGACUACAAUUUCCAUCAUUCCCCAUUUUUGACCAUGCCUCCUGGGGUCGGUGGAAGUUGAGGAAGGCUCAUUUAUUACCACAGUGCUGAACUGCGAGCAUAUGUGUUGAUACUUGUGCUGAGUGAUGGCAGUUGUUUCAGAGAUUGAUUCAGUCCUCAAGCCCUAUAGGCUUGCAAAGAAAAAGAAAGCAUUUGGAGCAUAAAGAUCCACUCACAGGAAGACAAUAAAAUCUGAAAGCUCAGAUGUUACUUCAAUGCUGAGCUUGGCUUACUCCCAUCUUUAAUUUUAGGGACUGGGAACAACUGAUAGAACUGAUCUCUUUUGGAAAGAGAAGUGGGAGGGAGAGGGAAAAUGCUCCAGAUUGUAGGCUGGUUUCCUUCUUCACAGACACAUUUACUGAUAAGAAAAUCACCCAGCCUACCAUGAAGAGCCAUUGCUUGUAAACUUUCCACAAAAGGCGGGAGACCAGAAAUUGAGGGGCUGGCAUUGGGGGGAAGAAGGGAAGAAGAUUUUGGAUGAGAGGGGCUCUGUGAAACUGAGUGGGGAGGCAGAGUGGGGGGGGGGGAAGCUAGCGUUAAUCAAGUUCGAGGGGAAACAGGACACAGAAUAUAAGGCAAAUUUGGCCAUAUGAAUCGUGUGCAUGCUUUUAUAUACCUCUUGCAGGAACAUACUUACACAUACUUACGAAUGGUUUCAUUUAGAUGUUUAAAUUAAAUGUGCAUUUAAAUGUGUUUUUAGCCUUUCCAGUGCAUUUUGUACCAUUGGCCCACUAAGAUUUUAGUGGCGCUAAUUAAUAAUAAAGUCACUUAAAGAAUUUGAAAAAAUAAUUGCUAGAGCAACGCUGCAAUCCAUUCUGUAGAUUCAGAUGCUACAUGAUGACCCUCCUGCAACUUCCCUAAGUAGAAAUGAGGACACAAAUAAAUAAUGAAUUGUUUAUAGGUGUAUCUGGAGUAUCAUAAACUUUUACUGGGCAGCCUAGUCUCCAAGGAAUACAGUUCUUAUUCUUGGAAAUUAGGGAAUGUUUUACAUUUGUCUCAUUGCACAGGAUGCAAUUGUACUUCACUGUUGCCAAGACUUAAGAAUUCUAUUUCCCCAAACUCUCAUAAUUAAACUUUUGGAAGUUUACUUCAACCAGGAUAGAAAUCAGCUGAAUGAAAGCAUCUCAGCCCACAUAUACUCUACUUAUUAGGGUGUGCGUGUACAAAUCUCAAUUUUAUUUUUGACAAAGUACAACUUCCAUGCUAUUUGUGCCUUGUUAUAUUUCAAAUUUGUUCUCUUCUUUCUCAUUCUUUAAACAGAUAUUAACCUUAAGAGCAGUUAUGUAAGUGCAUUCAUAACACCCACAGGCUUCCCCCUCCAGAUUCACAAACAUUAAACCCUAUGUCUAACUGCUAAUAUGUUUGCAUCGGCCUUAACAUAUGAUCCAUCUCUUGUACUGCAAAUACUGGCAUACUGUAAUCCUGUACAGCUAACUUGCAGCCUACGCGAUUUAACUUGUGCACAUUCAGCUUUACAUGUUUGGCAAUUU